GGUAGGUUAGCUCAGAUGGAUAAGGUGUGGCACUAAUAAUGCUGAGGUCAUGGGUUCAAUCCCCAUACUGAACA
rnacentral:tRNA from 1 species